UGCAAAGCACCUCUGGUCCCAGCAAGAUGU
rnacentral:piRNA from 1 species